CAGGUCUUAUAUUAUCAAGGUGAACUUUCUUUUGUUUGGCGUGUGACAAAAGGUAAGUUUAAGUAAAUUUUUUUUUUUUCAGUUUUGCAAAUACCAAAAUGUUAUUCACAAGAACUUGUCAGGGCAAAUCCGUUUUGUUUGUUUUGCAGAAUUUAUGGGUGUGUCGAACUUUAUUCUGCAUCUUGAUUAUUGUUCCAGAAUUAACGGAGAGGUACGUAUCUGUAACUUCCUUUUUUGAGUGGGUAUUCGAUGAUUAUUGAUUUUGACUCCCAUCUGAUAGAGAAGGUGCAUUCUGAACAGCCAGGGCUUGUGUUGUCUUCAGAUUUUUCAAUUCCCCCUUUCACCACCACCACCAAACGUAUACCCGAAAUGCCAUGAAUGCAGUAAAAACAUUAUGUACUAGUUGAUUCUGAAUUCUCUGAAUUAUUAAUUUAUUCUGAAUUAUUAAUUCUCUGAAUUAUUAAUUUAUUCCGAAUUAUUAAUUUCUCUGAAUUAUUAAUUAUCUGAAUUAUUAAUUAUCUGAAUUUCUCUGAAUUAUUCUGAAUUUUUUUUUGUGGUUGAGUAUUGUUCCCAGCGGAAUGAACUUGUGUCUUCAUUUAUUUUCUAGGCAGGGGACAAAUACACAUAUAAGCACUCUUUUAAAGUUUGAGUAUGUAAAGAUACAUGUACUACUAUAUUGUGGUUGUACGGUUAGUUGGACCCAUACCAGUUCAUUGGCAUUUAUGCGAGUGUUGGAGCAUUAUUAUCAUGUUACCUUGGACUGGGCCUGAAAGCGUGCAAAGCUUAAACAUCGACUGAACCUCCAGAUAUGAUUAAUGGUUUGAUCUGUGAUCGUUCAUACACUUUGAUCAAAUAUUCGUUUUGAAUCAGGAACUUAAUUUAGGAGCUGGUUGAUUAAAACUGCACAAAAUUUCAUUGCGGACUCAACAUGUCAUCUCGAUAAAUAUUGAUUAGGAUUUCUUAAUUUGAAAUUUAUAUGAAUGUGUAAUAGGUACGACACGAGACUGCGAGUUAUAGAUUUUGUUAAGUCGAAGAACCACAUUCAAUACAUGGGUAUGCCAAUUUUGAAAUAUAAAAACUUGUUCAGUACAAGUAUAUUGGUUCAAAAGAUUGGAAGAACAGGUUUUAAAAUUUGAAAAGAAAAGAAAUUUAGAGAGCCAUCAAGUGUCAAAAUAAAGUUUACUUUAAUUUAGACAGUUGCAAAUAAGUCAUAUUUAAGGUAUUUUAAUAAAAGAGGUUUUAAUUAAAAUGCGGC
rnacentral:lncRNA from 1 species